CUCAUGUAUAGUGGAAUUAUGGCUAUAAUCCCUAAAAAAUAAUCUUUUAUUACAAAUAUAACCAUAAUUAUAAAGAAGAAUUUUGAUUGUCUAACUUGGCCUUGCCGUUUAGUUCGGUCCAUCUAAAUGAUUGCCUGCCAGAGUUGCAGAGAUGCUCAAAAUUGUUCAGAAACAGGAUCAAACUUAAUCUGGAACACAACAUUACACAAUUGGCCAAUUCGGAACACUAUUAGUAUAUAACACAAUUACAAAUUGAGAGUAACCCUAUGUGGCAUUCACGCUUUGCAAUUACCAUUUCUCAUCAAUGAACUGCAGUUCCCAGAUCUUCCUUUACACUUAUCAGUUAUCACUAAAACAACAGAAAAUAAUUAUAAACAUUCCGAAGCACAUGAUUUUGUAGAAGAAAUCCUAGAAUCAAAAAUCAUACGACGAUCGCUAUUCCUAUGAAUAUAUGGAUUUCCAAGAAGUCCACCACCAAAAUUUACUAAAACCUAAUAAUAUCAUUCUUAAAUCUUAACUUCCCUUUGAUUUGAAACAUUCAUAUAUCCAAACCCUCACGAUACAAGUUUGAACCAUAUUACACCGAUUGACAACAAUACGAUAAACAUGAAACACACAAGCACACACACAAUGAUACAGCGACACAAAGUGAUCGAUAUACACAAACAGUGGGAUGAGAGAAUACCUAAAUAGUCAUGGGAACAGAAGCAAGAUAUCUAGCCUUGUUUCGGUUGGCAUAUCGAUGAUCCUUAUAUAUAAACCAGUUUUGAUUCGAAAAUAAAACAAAAUUAAUAAUUAUAGAUUUCUGAAAGAAGGAGCGAUAUGUAUUUGAGCCGUAUCAGAUUACCUCUGCUCGUUG
rnacentral:lncRNA from 1 species